AAUAUAUUAAAAAGACGAGAAGACCCUAUAGAGUUUUAUGAAUUAAAUUAAUUAAAAUUAUUUGUAAGAUUAAAAUUAAAAUUAAUUUAUUUAUUUUGUUGGGGUGACAGAAAAAUAUAAUAAACUUUUUAUAUAUUUAAAACAUUAAUAAGUGAUUAAAUGAUCCAAUAUUAUUGAUUAUAAGAAAAAAUUACCUUAGGGAUAACAGCGUAAUUUUUUUUUUUAGUUCAUAUAAAAAAAAAA
rnacentral:rRNA from 1 species